rnacentral:rRNA from 1 species
AUUGAACGCUGGCGGCAGGCUUAACACAUGCAAGUCGAGCGGAGAUGAGGUGCUUGCACCUUAUCUUAGCGGCGGACGGGUGAGUAAUGCUUAGGAAUCUGCCUAUUAGUGGGGGACAACAUUCCGAAAGGAAUGCUAAUACCGCAUACGUCCUACGGGAGAAAGCAGGGGAUCUUCGGACCUUGCGCUAAUAGAUGAGCCUAAGUCGGAUUAGCUAGUUGGUGGGGUAAAGGCCUACCAAGGCGACGAUCUGUAGCGGGUCUGAGAGGAUGAUCCGCCACACUGGGACUGAGACACGGCCCGGACUCCUACGGGAGGCAGCAGUGGGGAAUAUUGGACAAUGGGGGGAACCCUGAUCCAGCCAUGCCGCGUGUGUGAAGAAGGCCUUAUGGUUGUAAAGCACUUUAAGCGAGGAGGAGGCUACUGAGACUAAUACUCUUGGAUAGUGGACGUUACUCGCAGAAUAAGCACCGGCUAACUCUGUGCCAGCAGCCGCGGUAAUACAGAGGGUGCGAGCGUUAAUCGGAUUUACUGGGCGUAAAGCGUGCGUAGGCGGCUUUUUAAGUCGGAUGUGAAAUCCCCGAGCUUAACUUGGGAAUUGCAUUCGAUACUGGGAAGCUAGAGUAUGGGAGAGGAUGGUAGAAUUCCAGGUGUAGCGGUGAAAUGCGUAGAGAUCUGGAGGAAUACCGAUGGCGAAGGCAGCCAUCUGGCCUAAUACUGACGCUGAGGUACGAGAGCAUGGGGAGCAAACA